AAGUCAUGGUGUGGGCAUAGUCUGAACAUAUUUUUGAAUCUAUCUCACGCUUCAUAGAGAGAUUCAGUGUCAGAGUGUCUGAAGUUAGCAAUUAAAUUCCGUAUAU